rnacentral:rRNA from 1 species
CCUACGGGAGGCAGCAGUGAGGAAUAUUGGUCAAUGGGCGCGAGCCUGAACCAGCCAAGUCGCGUGAGGGAGGACGGCCCUACGGGUUGUAAACCUCUUUUGCCGGGGAGCAACGGGCGCCACGUGUGGCGUCACUGAUAGUACCCGGAGACAAAGCAUCGGCUAACUCCGUGCCAGCAGCCGCGGUAAUACGGAGGAUGCGAGCGUUAUCCGGAUUUAUUGGGUUGAAAGGGUGGGUAGGCGGAUCGUUAAGUCAGUGGUCAAAUUGAGGGGCUCAACCCCUUCCCGCCAUUGAAACUGGCGGUCUUGAGUUGAAGAGAAGUAUGCGGAAUGCGUGGUGUAGCGGUGAAAUGCAUAGAUAUCACGCAGAACCCCGAUUGCGAAGGCAGCAUGCCGGCUUCCGACUGACGCUGAAGCACGAAAGCGUGGGGAUCGAACAGGAUUAGAUACCCGUGUAGUC